rnacentral:siRNA from 1 species
GUGUUCGGCCUUACGUUUCUUCAC